rnacentral:lncRNA from 1 species
GGGAGGGGCAAGGGGGAGGUUUGGGAUGAGCGGCUGGGAAGGUACAAGGGCGUGGAGAGGGAAGGAAAGAAGAGAGAACCCACAGGGAGCAGGGACAGUGCCAAAGGGCUUUAGGGGGACUUUUUAGCCCCGCUCCCCAUCUCUGUAAGUCCCUCCUGCGCGCCUCAAAUGAACUUACAACCUAAGUAAAGCAGCGCGCUUGCACAAGUUCCCCCCCUCCUGCCAGCCCCCUAUACUGUAACCCUGGGGCCGCCAGUGGCCAGGGAGUAAGAGAGGCUCCCAAAGAGACCCGCGGUGCCGGAGGAGUGGGAAGGAGAGAGGGAGAGGGGACAGGAGAAGGGGAGCACAGUCUCCAGGAGGCAUCUGCCGCCACGCCCCCUUUGGCCAACCUGCCAAUCGCUAGGCCGCAUCCGGGUCUCGUAACCCGUUGCCAGGCAGAUUUUUAUCCAACUCUGGGCUGCUGCGAGCCACGUGCCCUGCGGGGCCUGGGUGGGGCUGGGCGCUGGGCGCCCGGCGCCGAGCACAGCCAGGCGGAAAGAGGGGAAGGAAGACCCUGGGGGUCUGUGGGAAAGUUGCUGGAGGCCAGGGUCACACCUCCUCGGGCGUGGCCGCGGAACCUAGCCUCCUCACCCUGGUGGGUCCCUAAGCCCCAAACGAGGCAGGGACGCAUGCUUUUCCUUUAGUCCAGACUUGCCUCAAUCGCCAGCUUUGUACUCUGAGAAACUGCUGUGCUGGAGAGUGCCACCGCCUUAGACGUUGAUACUUUGGGAUAUUUACGUUUAAAAAGAGAGCUUUUGGGCCCUGAGGGAUGGGUUCCUCAUGGUGGUUAUUUCAGGCCCGUGGGCAGGCAGCUCGGGUAUUUUGGGACAGGAGAGCCUUUUUAGCAAAGCCUCACAAACAGCGUGGCUGGGGAGCCGCCUUGCUGUCCCUGCUGCGGGCCUGACACAGCCCCGGACCCUGGACGGUAGCAGGGACAUUGACCCCUGCCUGCCUUACCGUCCCCACUCCCGGGCCGGUGAGGGGAAAGGCUUUUGACAACCUCUGGCCUUACCAGCCAGUGCCCUGCGGCCUGGGUUUCGUGUUUUACCUGGACAUGUGGUCUCCUUCAGGGCACAAGGUCGCCAUCCGGCCUCCAUCGCCUGUGUCCAGUGGCCAGGCAGUGGGGAGGGCUGGAAUGUGAGCAGGCAGGAGAGAAGAAUGACAGGGCAGUUUCUACUUGUAAGAGUCCGAGCCCGGCGCACAACUUGAAUUUCAAGUGGGCCCUUCAGGCAGAUUAGGGAGGUCAAGUGAGAGAGUGGAGGCAGCCGGUGUGGAUUGUCUAAAUUCCUAGAAAAUAAAUUCUAGGAAUUUAGCUGUGGGAGGGGGGAGUGCCAGGUGCGUAGCAGGGAUUGGAGCUGGUGGUCCAGGAGGCAUGGGGGGGUGUGUGUGUGGAUUUUUGCUGUUCCCUCUCUGUUUGAACACCUUGUUUUUCCAAAAAUGAAUUAUCUCUUGAAUCAUAUCUAAGAGACAAAUUAAUGCUUUUAACCAAGGCUUUUUAAAAAAAAUUAUUUUGGGGGGCCGCCCGGUGGUGCAGCAGUUAAGUGCACACGUUCCUCUUAUCGGCAGCCCGGGGUUCGCUGGUUUGGAUCCCGGUGUCGACAUGGCACCGCUUGGCAAAAGGCGUCCCAUGUAUAAAAUAGAGGAAGAUGGGCAUGGAUGUUAGCUCAGGGCCACUCUUCCUCAGCAAAAAGAGGAAGAUUGGCAGUAGUUAGCUCAGGGCUAAUCUUCCUCAAAGAAAAAAAAGUAAAAUUAAAAAAAUUAUUUUUUUUAGCUGAGCUGCAGUCCUGUGGAGGAAAGCCACUCCCUGUAAAUACUCUUUUUGCUGACUGCCCUUUGUUUGAAGUAAUUAUUGUCCCUGAAAAUGGGAAAUUACAUGGUACUGUUUAUCAAAAGGAAAUAAAUACCUUGGAUUAAUAAGGUUCUCGCCUUAUUGGUGCUUCCAGACCUUGCCAGCAACCUGGGUUAAAAAGACUGCACCGCAUGUGGGGCAAACGCUCACUUUUGGCGUUUGACGAUUUCGAAAGGGAAAUGGUUGGGUCCUGUGUGUCCCUUGAGGCUUGCUGGCCAUGUUCUUGUUACAUAAUCACGGAGAACCUUUGAUAGUGCUUUUCUGAUGUCAGAAAUAAGGACAGGAAAAAACAUGGGGAGUGGAGCGUGCCUCCUGCCCACUCUGCUCUAGCAGGAAUUGGACUCUGGGUUGCUCUGUGUUCAUGAGCGUUUGGUUAACUCUCACUGAACAAUAGAGAGAAGAGUUGGAUGGGAAUGCCUUACCGAGAUGGCUUGAACUGCACAUUUGCUCACGCAGGGAAGAAAAGUUCUUGGAGGUGCUCUGAGCACAGCAGGUCUCAGCCUUUCCGUGCUCCAGCCAGCACCCUGAAAGUGCUCGCCCCUCCAGUCUCCUGCGUGCUCCCCUCCUUUUGACUCUGGCCAUUGUCAGUCCCUGCAGCCUCAAGCUGGCCUCUCCAGCCACACUCAGCUCUUUCCAGCACUCAUUUUUUUUAAAGAUUGGCAUCUGAGCUCACAUCUGUUGCCAAGAUUUUUUUUUCCUUCUUCUUCCCAAAGCCCCCCAGUACAUAGUUGUAUAUUUUAGUUGUGGGUCCUUCUAGUUGUGGCAUGGGGGAUGCUGCCUCAGCGUGGCUUGAUAAGCAGUGCCAUGUCUGCACCCAGGAUCCGAACCAUCGAAACCCUGGGCCACCAAAGCGGAGUGUGUGAACUUAACUGCUCGGCCACAGGGCUGGCCCCCUCCAGCACUCUUAGCAUGCCCUGCUCUCUCCAGUAUGCUGGCUUUCCACUUACUCUCUGCUUUUCUGUUCUCAGCAUUGUUCAUAUUAAAUUAUCUGCAACCAGUUGCCUGCCUGUCUGCCUCCCCCAUCAGACUGUCAGCUCUGGGAGGGGGGGGAUGCAGUCUGCUUGUUCACCAUCAUAUCGCCAGCACAGUGUCAGGCACACGGCCCAUGGCACACGGCACAUGGCAGAAACUCACUAAGCCCUCCUAUCACUAUCUUAUCGCUUCACUUGUCACUUCCCUUAGCAACAAGUGCCCCAGUUUUCCUUCUGUCCAUUACUAUGUAUUUCUCUGAUCUCCAAGAGGCAUUAGUCUCUACUUUGGGUAAAAACAUAUAAACAGUUCCAAAGCAAACCAACCAAACAAACACCAGAACUGGUUCUGUAAUAAGUGAUUGCUAAAGUUUUGCCUAUCAGCUGCUCUCCUUCAGCUGUUGAUGGGUCUGAUUUAAUUUCAGUAAAGGAUAGAAAGCGUGCAGCCUGUCAGUCAGCAAACUCUUCAAAAUCCACACCCUUCUAGCAGGCGGGACUGCCUUGUUGGGGUGAAAAGGAGGUAAAGCGAAAACUUGGUGACUCAGAAGGUGAGGAGCUGAAGUCCCAGAAAGGUGGGCUGGCGGCCACAGAAGGCAUGCUGAGUGGGAAGACACCUGCAGGGAUUUGGUGGCAGAUGAAGGUGGGGCAGGAGGGGGUCUGAGAUGGCCCCCACCAGAAUUGCAGCAGAGAUGUGACAGCCAAGAAUUGAAGUGGAGGAAGGAGAGGAGGAAAGCUGGGGUGUGGAGGAGGAGGGGGCUCCCCCGAUCUGAUCAGUUUGGUCCAAAACCAGUGGCUGGCACCUGAAAUGUCAUUUAUCGUUUAAGUCUGGGAAGUAUGACUUUUGAGGAUUCUGUUCCCAAUAGAUUAUUUUUAUUUUUAUUGAUUUUUUUAAAGAUUUUAUUUAUUUAUUUUUUCCCUUUUCUCCCCAAAGCUCCCCGGUACCUAGUUGUAUAUUCUUGGUUGUGGGUCCUUCUAGUUGUGGCAUGUGGGACGCUGCCUCAGCGUGGUUUGAUGAGCAGUGCCAUGUCCCCGCCCAGGAUUCGAACCAAUGAAACACUGGGCCGCCUGCAGCGGAGCGCGCGAACUUAACCACUCGGCCACGGGGCCAGCCCCAGUUUUUAUUGAUUUAAAAAAAUGCAUCUUUCUGAAGAAAUUCUGAGUGCCCUGACAGGCUUUGUUUUAUUAAGAGAGUAAUACAAAGAAAGCAUCUUCAUUUGUUCUCCUUCUUUCUUCCCCCUCCGUCCCUCCCUUCCUUCCUACUGAAAUUUUUGACCAGAAACGCCAGCCAGGAUGUGGAGAGCUGUGUUUUCCACCUGAACCAAGGUGGGGCUGGCCUUCUCUUUGUUGCAGCUAACUUGCUCCACCUCCACCCUGCUGUUCUCUUUGAGCUGGACAGACACAGCGACAGUGGCCCCGUUGCCAGCACAGACUGUUGCAGAAUGAGACAAAGCCCUUGUGUAUUUUGCUGGGCAGCACUUGGCCAUGAAAUCCUGACAUGUGAGCGUAGGAGAGCAUUUGUGAUGCCCGAGCAUACGGCUCUUGAAUCCGCGCUUUUCAGGGCGUUUCCAAGCCUCCUUCAAGGACAUCGAGGCUGAGGUUUGGUAAGUGUGUUUAUCUUUCCCAAGUUGGGACAAAGUCCUCCUGGAAAGUAGAUUUUGAAGCACUGAGAUCAGAAAUCUCCUGGGGAAGUGGGUAUGGAAUUGUGUGUUUUAACGUAAUGCAGUGUGUUUGAGCAAUAUCCGUGUCCUGUUGUCAAGAAAGAAACACCAUUCCCAGCCCAGUGCAGACUGGGUCCAAUGGCACCUGACCCAGGUGGCUUGGGCUGAUUCCUUGUCCACAGAGAGCCAGCUGUUGAGGUAGGCGAGAUGAAAGGAUUAUUUACUACAAAAAGUGGUGGGUCAGGAAUCUCCCAGUUGAUUCUGUUAGUUCAAAAUGGAAAAGAAAUGAAGUGGAGGUGGUUCCUUGGCUUGAUAUCCAGUACGGUCAUCCAGGCUCAGCAGUUGAAAGCCCAUUGGAUUUUAUUAAUCAUUGGAACAAUGCAAAGCUGCUCACCACGCCCCACAUGUCUCACCACGCCCCACAUGUCUCACCACCGGACUCUGAGGGACAGCACGUAGGUGUGGGAGGAACAGGUUCCAACCUGAUCCUGAUCGUUAACAAAACUAGUCUUCCCCAGCAGACGUGAAUCUCCAGGCCAAUCAGAUUACCUCAGCCUUCUAGCACCCGUGUGAACGGGCAUUGUAGGGAAGCUGGCUGGGCUGGGCUCAUGUAGGGUAGCCCAAUGCCUAUAAGGUGUAAUUUUCUUUUUUUCCCAAGGAAGAUUAGCCCUGAGCUAACAUCUGCCAAUCCUCCUCUUUUUUCUGAGGAAGACUGGCCCUGAGCUAACAUCCGUGCCCAUCUUCCUCUACUUUAUAUGUGGGAUGCCUACCACAGCACAUCCCACUGCAUGGCUUGCCACGUGAUGCCAUGUCCGCACCCGAGAUCCAAACUGGUAAACCCUGGGCCGCCGAAGCGGAACGUGCACACUUAACCAUUGUGCCACCGGGCUGGCCCCAAUAUAAGGUGUAAUUUGAAGGCCUCAGGAAAGGCCACCCUAGCCUGAAAUCUCUGCCCUACUGGCUUGUCAAAGAUUCCUGCAAUUUCACUAUUAUCGAGCCAUUGCUUUGUUUCCACAGGCCCUCUCUGUGCUGUUCUUCUGUAAACGCAGGUUGGUCUGUGAUACGGGAUUCCCUUAAUCUUCCCACCUGAAAUUGUGUGUUUAAUCUCUUGGGUAAACCCCAAAUUCAGCUCCACUUUUUCUUUUUCCAGUUUUAUUGAAAUAUAAUUGGCAUAGAAUAUUGUAUUCGUUUUAGAGGUACAACAAAUAAUGAGUUGAUAUAUGUGUGUGCUGGGAAACGAUCACCACAGUAAGUUGAGUCUCGGUUCCACUUUUUCAUGUUAGGUCUCUCUCGAGUCACUUCACCUGCCCUAUUCCCUAUUCUGUUCAGCUUAGACAGGAAGGGAAGCUGGAAGCCAGGUGGCUCAGUGUGGGGGACAGAAGAGCCAAGGAAGGUGGAAGGAAGGGCGCUGGGGACUAGCGGCCUCUCACAUGGCUUCGCAGCACAGUAAGGGCUGCCGGCCUUGCUCUGGUGCCAGAUGGCACAUGAAGGGAGAUGUUCUCCCCUCUUUGGCCAAAGUGGAUCCCCGUCAACUCCGACACAUGCUCCUUUCCUCUCUACUCUCACUUCCUUCAUCUCACUCACUUUCCUCUUACCUCUCCUCCUUCCCCUUUGCUCUCAGCCAUCGUCAUUCUAAGUGGCCCCAUGUAGGAAGGGAACUCUCAGUUGGUAGCCCCAAGGAGCCAGGAGCUCCUAAACCAGACCAGAGCUUGGCUGCACCCUUUCCUCCUUCCACACUUGGUUCUCAGUCCUUCCAUGAGGCCUGAGGAGUGACCCAGGAGCUGCCCAGCUGCAGGCAUUCCAACUUGUACAGCUGGUUGGAGCAGACAUGGAGGGUGUGCAGCGAGAGGCCAGCCAGAUGCUGGGGGCUGCACUAAAGGCUUAGACCGUUUCUGCCUUUUCCUCUUUGCCUGGCCUAGAAGAGGUGACCAGAACCCAUCUCUGCAUGCCCCUGCCUCUGGGCCGAUUUUAUCUCCCCAUACCUCUCUCCCAGAGCCCCCCAUCCCAAAGGAAAUGAUGCCAUAAACUCCACUGGAAUAUAACUCUAAGCAGGCAGGGAUUUUUAAUCUAUCCUCAGAGUCUGGAACAGUGCCUGGCACAUAGUAGGUGCUAAAUAAAUAUUUGUUGCCUGAACCUCCUCUGAUUGACGUAAUCACAGCUGGUAAAAUACUUUCAACUCUGCUGAACACUCUUUUGGGCCGGUAGACAUUUUUAGAACUCACAUUAUGAAAGAUUUAAUUUUUAAUUACACCACAUAGCAAUUCAUUUUUCUCGAAAAUUCAAACAGAGCCCUGAUGGCCUAGUGGUUAAAGUUCGGCACAUUCCACUCCAGGGGCCCAAGUUCGGUUCUUGGGCACGGAACCACACCACUUGUCUGUCAGUAGCCAUGCUGUGGCAGCAGCUCACAUAGAAAAACUAGAAGGACUUACAACUAGAAUAUACAACUAUGUACUGGGGCUUUGGGGAGGAAAAAAAAUUGAAACAGUAGGGAAGUUCUGCUUGCCCCAAACCCAGUUGCAUGCCCCUCCUGAGCACUAACCACAGCCACCAUCUUGGCGUACAUCCUGCAGACUUUGCUCUAUGCGUUUGGACAAAGCUGUCUGUAAACACAGACAGCUGUAGCUUGGCGGGUUAAAAGAAACCGUAAAUAAGAUCCCACCGUAUUGUUUUGCAAUUUGCUUGUUUCUCCUUACUAAUAUGUUUUGGAGAUGUUCUGUGUAGGUAACUACAGAUCCACUUCAUUGUUUUUCACGGUUGUGAAAUAUCGCAUAGCAUAGACGGAGUACUGUUUGUUUAACUAUUCCUGUACUGACAGAGCUUUGAGUCAUGUCCAGUCUAUGAACAUCCUUGCAAAACCACUCUGAGUACAUGUCCAAGUAUUUCACUGGGACACCUACAGAUGGAAUUGCUGAGUGAAGGAGCAUGUGCACUUAGCAUGUUAAUAGCUAUGCCAAAUUGCCCUCCCAAGCGGCUGGAUCCAUACACAUUCCCACUUUUGGGUGUGAAAGCCCCUGCUUUCUCCGUACCCUUAUUGGUUUUUAUUGAUCUUCUUUAUUUUUUUUUACCAAUCUGUUGGUCAAAACACAUUAUCUCAUUGUUAGAAUAAAAAUUUCAGUUCAAUUUUCUAGGCGAGGAAAUUGUAAUUCAUGUUAGUAACAUAAUCGCAUGUAGAGUAAUAAUACUAUUUAACUGCUAUGUGUUCUGUUAUUUAGUAACUAUUUUACAUAGAAUGAGUAAGUAAUCAGGUCUCUGCCCUUUUAGAUAGAAAUAGUUAUGUAUCAAUUUUUCUCCACACAUUUCGCUGUGACCUUUAGAUGUAAAACACAAGAGUGUGGGGGUCUUAUAGGACCCCAGGGGAAUGACCUCUCCUUUCCCCUGCAUAUCCUCGCUUCUCUGGAGUGGCUCCAGUGAAUUCUUUCGAUGCCACAGCCUGCCCUUCCUUCAUGUCCUUUCCCACCACACAGUGGCCACGUCCUGGAAUGACGAUGUCAAGUCGCCCAAUCCGAUGGCGUGGUACAUUCUCUGCUCCCCGGCCUCUGGGUUUCUGCUUAGAGCAGCUUGGAACACGUCAGCAGAAGUUGUUGGUUCUGUCCUUUGCUCACCUCUGAUGAUAGCUGGCCCAUCUUCUGGUCUAUCAGAAGCUAUACCACGGGCUGGGUUCUGCCUUAAUCUUUUCUAAGCUCAGACGUCACCUAGUACAACGUAUUCCAGAGAGAAGCACAUUUUAAAAGGAAAAGCUUUGAGAGCGUUUAAAAUCGUACACUGUUUAAUUUUGUGGCUAGUUCCCUUCCCACCCCCACCUUGAGGUCGUUUGUUCUUCUAUUUUUCUUAACCUCUGGAUAACGCCAAGAUGGUGGUUGCGAAAGGGUUUUUCUCCCUGAAAGUUUUCUCUAGGCAUGGUUCUUUGUUACUAACAAGAUACAGCUUAGAAUCAUUUCGUGCCUUAAUAUUAAUCUCUGAUGAUUGAAUUGGAAUCACCACCCACUGUGGCUGGAUUUAAUAAUGGCCUCCUCCUAAAGUUACUUUUUUAGAGGGAGCAUAGGAUUUUAAGGCAGUGUGACUUGUUUUGAUGGUUUCAGGUUAAUUUUGUGUUUGUAUCAGGUUAAUUUCAUAUUUGUACCACAAAACCAUUUGCUUGUUGAUUUGAUUGUUUCAUUUUCUAAAGUGAGUUGAAACCAAAGUCAUGUCCUACCCCCUUAUUCAGUCCAGCUACUACAGAAUCUUUGCUUUGCUGGUUUUAGAAAUAUUACUCUAUUUCUAAAGCACUCCAGUUUUGGCCACAAAUUAUACCAACAGGACGCCGUGGGGCAAUCUAUAUAUUUAGCUAAGAAUCUUAGUUUCUUUAGGAUAACUUAUUAUUUUGGAUAUUCUGGUAACUUUGCCUUGGACUUUUUUUUCUUUCAUAUUUUCUGAUAUAUGCUGCAAAACAUGAGUGGAGGGGUUCAUGAACCAGAAGGCCUGUGUCCAGAUCCCAGCUCUGCCACUUCUUAGCUGUGUGGUCUUGGGCAUGUUACUUACGCUCUCUGUGCCUCGGUUUUCUCUUGUGUAAAACAGAGUAACGGUAGCAACAAUCUCCCGAGUUGCUAGAAGGAGUUUAUGUACAAGUUUAAACAGUGUUUGGCAUAUGGUAAGUGCUAAUGUGUUUGUCAUUAUUAUUCAAUCCUUUCUGAAAGAAAAAAACAUUCCUUUCUUCUGUGGUUAUUUGGACUUAUUCUGAGUUACAUUUUAUAAUUGAAAACCGAACAAAUUGAAAUGAAGGAAGAGUCAUUGAAUGCUUAAUUACUCAACCAAACUGUUUCUGGAAGAGGCAAGAGUGUUUCUGUAAAGUAAUUCACACCUGAUUAAUCUAUUAGGAUUUUUGAAAAUUUGUGCACUAAGAAAAACCAGUGGGAUGAGAUUAAUCUAUGUGCAGUUUUUAAGAGUAUGGGAAAUUUUCAUGCCAUUGGUUGUUAAAGAAACGCAAGUAUCAUUCAGUUGAAAAAAAAUUUCUUCCUUCCUUCCUUCCUUGCUUCCUUUCUUCCUUCCAUCUGUCCUUCCUUCCUUCUCUCAUCAGUCAUCCAUUCAAGCAACGAACAUUUCCAGAGUGCCUGGGACACUGUGCUAGGCUCUACAAACAGGGGCACAGAGACAAAUAAUCCAUGGUCCCAGCCCUUAGGAAAAUCUAAUGAAAGAUUUGCUUGUUACUUAUGGUGAGGAAAAAUUUAAGUGGCCCCAACCUCCCUCGGAAAGCUUGGGACAGGGAAGACAGACCAUCUGUAAGAAGGAAUCAUGAAUAAGAAAAUUCACCAAUUGGAAAGCGAAGAUCCGGACUCAUUCCAUUCAUCAGCCUCCAAGUUACUUUCUCUUGAGGAAGAGCUAUUUCUUGGGAUGAUGUUCAACUUGAGGAAACACACGAAAAGAACAGCCCAUUGAAGGUGUUGAUAGCAACCAUGGUUUCCAUGUUGCUGGCAGAGAGAAUCCUGGCACUUGCCAGGGAAUCCAAUGCUCAGGUGGGCUUUCCUUCUUGAUGGAUCGCUUAUUCUGACAUGGUGGUGACCCCUGGAUUGAAGAUCUACCACAUAAGGCUUCAGGGCCUCCUCGUGGAGUUCAAUCUACUCGUUGGAACUCCUGCCCCAUGAGAUCCAGCUUGGUGCUAAGCAGAGAAGGUGCUCAGUAACUCACAACCCUCCUUUCUACACAUUCUUCACUUGACAGCAUCUUGUUCAUCAGUGUUGGGUUGCACCUUAUCUCUUUUCUUCUGCCACUGCAAAAUCCUUGAGGACAGCGGCUAGAUCUGCUGAACUGAUGAACCCGAGAUGACAUUGUCCCCUUUGUACGAGUUUCCCUGGACUUUCACGGAAGGAUGUCUUUCAGCAUAUGCCAGCUCCCUUCUUAAGAUUCUCUGAUCACUUCCACAGACAGAACUUCCAAAUGAGGGUGGAGUGGGCUGGGUGGGAUGUGGUGGGGGGUAAAGGUGGGACCUCUGGUUUUUCUGUAUACCCUUAGUAGACAUUUAAGAAAUGUUAAUUAAUUGGAUCACUUGAUGAAUGACCUGGUAAUAAUCCUUGUCUUUGUUGUUAGAACACAUCACAGCCAUCAGCACUGGAAUGCAAACACCAGAAUAAACCGGAGGAAGCCACCAGCCAAGCCCGGGCAGUUUCAAUCUCCACCUCAAACGCAGACUGAAGUCUUGCCCCCAGGAUUGUUCUGAAGUUUUGGUGGAGGAGAGAUGAGUUGAGGCCCGUCCUUGGCUAGUGGAGGUGAUACCACGGAUCCACAGCUGGAAGGGCCAGCCCAGACAUUGGCUCUUCCUGGAAUCUUGAACUCAGCUCUCCACAAACCUUCUUCAGGACUGCUUUUUAAAAAUGUGACGAGCUUCUGAUAUUUACUUCAGUAGCAUCUUUUGAGUGGCUGCUGCUGCACUAGGCGCCCGGAAUGCAAGUAGGAGAGAGAUGUCUCAGUCGGGCUCUAGCAGGGGCCAGGAAGAAAACCGCCCCCUCUGAAGGUUGUUUUUGUGACUGUGCUUUGGAGCAUUGUUCUAAAAAUGGGAAAUUACACGUUGCUGUGCCAAAGGAAACAAGCACCUGCAGUUAGAGGAAGACCUUCCACGAGGCGGCUUUCAGAGCUCCAGCCAGUUCUGGACGCCGGGCUGCCACAGGAGUUCCAUUUGGUGCGUUUCUUCCCUUCUAAAGGCAUAGGGUGUGGGCUUACAUUUGUAACCAGGGUGGGCUCUGGCAACUUUGGGCUCUAGUGAUUGUCUUCUUCUCAUUCAUUCAAUAAACAUCUAUCAAGCAUCUAUGUUGGGUCAGCCUUGGUGGUUUUCACGACUCCCUUCCCUGGCAUUGUCAAAAACCAUUGGGGGAGUUGGCUACUGGCAGGCGGCUUUCUGGUUACCUUUCUUCAGUGUUCUGAGUCAGUGCACAACUUCUGCCUCCAAAUGACAAGGAGCUAGAGAGAACCCCAGCACAUUCUCUCCUUCCUCUCCUUUCUUUCCCCCUCUUUCUUCCCUCCCCACCCUUCUUUCUCUUCCUUCAUUAGUUUCCAAAAAGAAAAAUGUUAUUUUUAACAUGUCAGUCAAUAUAUUUCUUUAGGCAUGUGAUUUUUCGAAGUUUCCAGUUCCUGGGGUACACACAGUCUGAAAUUCUUGUUCUACAGUGUUAGACAUCAAAAGAUACUUUUUUGGUUAGCUGAUUAAUGUUUAACAUUUAUCGACACGGAUAUAAUUGCAAAAUAAUUAGGUUUUGAAAUUUAUCAAGCGUGAAAUGAAUACAUUUCAGAUGAAGUUGUGGGUUAAAGAGAAUCCAGUUUCACAAGCUGAUCUCAUCUUUAUUGGAAAUGAGAAAGAAGAAGGGAGUAAUGGGAAACAAUGAGUUUCAAACUUUGUGGGAUGCAUUGACUUUGGUUAGAACCUUCUGCCCGUGAAGCGCGUAUUCCUCCAAUAGGUUAGCCCAAGAGUGAUGGCAGAUGGAGUCAGGGCGAUCUCUCUGGGACCACUUGGUUAUUGAUGUGGUCCCUCCUGGAAGAAGAGAGAUGGAAAUAAAAGGCUUUCUAGUUCCGUAACACACUUAAUCUACUGUCUUAUUUUCUACAUUGGUUUCAACUUUUCCAAUAGAGGUUCAAAAGUGGGACCCCUCUACGAUGGAGCACAAGAUACAGAUUCACAUUCCAGUCAUCUACUUUUUACUUUUAUUUUUGCUUACUUGGAUUUUCAAAUUUUUCUUUAAUGAAUGGCAAGAGAACAAAAAUUUGGAUCACACCCUCGUGGGGCUCGUGUUCUCGAGAGGAAAGCAGACAUAAGCAAACAUGCCACAGUGAGAUGAGGGCAUGACAGAGCCUCAAUUAGGUGUCAUGGGAGGAGAGAGAGUCCCUGGUCCUCGGGUCAUCAGGGGCAGGAUGGGAAGAGCCCAAGAGCGGAGUCUUGAAGGAAUCUUAAGUUUGCCAGAUUUAGUAGAUACAAUACAGGAUGCCAGGUUAAAUUUGAGUUUUAGAUAAAUAAUGAAUCAUUUUUUUAGUAUAGAUAUGUCCCAAACAUUGCAUAGGUCCUGAAGGAUGGAGGCUGGGUCUUCAGGUGACUUUGGGAAGGGAGGCACUUUGGCCAGUGGGAACUGCCUGUGCAAAGGUGUGGAGGUGUGAACAGCAUGGAUCUGUCGCCUGUUUCAAAUAUAAAUGUAUGUGCCUCAUAGCAAGGCAGGUAACUGCCACCUGAGGAAGGAGGUCUGCCAGCCAGGAAGAUCCUCGUUCUGGGCUGAUGGUUUCAGAUUUUCCCUUGGUUCCUUUUUUCCCAUGACUCCCUCUUCCAUAAACCAUGCACUUGCGUCUGGCUGGAGGACAGAUGAGAAGCGGGACUUGGGUUGUUCUAGACAGCACUGCCAGGGUGGGUCUCAUGGCUUUGUGGCCUCAGAGCUUGCUUGAGGGGACAAACAAGAAGGAUUCCAUCUCUUAGAGGUGGCUGCACAUUGACCAAGCCUCCAGACUGAUAGCUGCAACCAGAAGCACAUUUAUUAAAUUGCUGUGAGAACUGCAAAGGCAUAUUCUCCCCCCGUGGACAAGCAUCAUGAAGGCUGAGGGGGGCGAGCACAGACUGAGGAUGAGGAGGUGGUUGAAGGGGUGCCCAGGAAGGGUUCCUCGUCAAUGGAAGCUGCACUGUUCCUGCUCAGGACCCAUUUGUCUCCCUCGAGCUACUCCCCAUCCCCUCCCGUAUGGCACCCUGACCCUUUCUGUUCAUCCGGUGGGGCACAGUUCACCGGGCUAGAUUUCUACUUACUAAAUGACACCCACAUUCUAGUCCCGCCCCCUCAUGACUCCCUGAUCACCUUGGUGGAGUGUAGGGUGUGGGUGAAAUCUUUUCUCCUAGUUAGAGACAAUCUCUGGUUCAUCCCCAUAGAUGGCUCACCCUAUGCACUGUCUGUGAAUUUACCAACCUAUCUCUGAGGGUAACUUUACUUCCAUGCCUUGUUCUCUGCUGCACCCCCAAAGUAGGUGGGGGAAACAGCAAGAUUUGAGGCCAGAGCGACAGGCAGGGCCAUUCUUCAAGGAGGGCCUCUGGUGCCGUGCGAGGACUCUGGACUUUAUCCUAUACGAGACUGGUAGCAGAGAAGGAUUUUAAGCAAAAGCACGAAAUUGCUCUUUGACUUUUGGCAAUCACAGGAAGGGAGCAAGACUGAAAUCUUAGAGACCAUUUAGGAGGCAGAAUAAAGUCCCCCCAAAGAUGUCAACAACCUAAUUCCCAGAACAUAUGAAUGUAUUAGGUUACAUGGUGAAGGGAAGAGAAGGGUGCAGAUGGAAUUAGGGUUGCUAAUCAGCUGGCACUGAGUGGGGCAGAUUAUCCCGGAUUAGCAGGGUGGGCCCAGUGUAGCACAAAGGUCCUUCUACUGGAGAAAGGAGGCAGAAGAGAAGGCCAGAGUCAGAGAGAGAGAGCUGAAGAGGCCGUGCUGCUGACUUUGAAGCUAGGGGAAGGGGCUAACAGCCAAGGAAUGAAGGUGAUCCUUAGAAACUGAAAAAGCAAGAAACAGACUCUCCCCAGAGCCUCCAGAAGGAACACAGCCUGCUGACACUUUUAUUUUUAGCUCAAUGAAACCAUGUCGGACUUCUGACCUCCAGAUCUGUAAGAUAAGAAAUUUCUUGGGGUUUUUUCUUUUAAGCCACUAAGUUUGUGGUACUUUCUUACAGCAGCCAUAGGAAACUAAUUUAGAGGCUAUUUGCAAUAAUCCAGGCCAGAGGUGGUGAGGGCCUGCUGCUGCAAUAAGAGUAGAAAGGAGACUAGUUCAAGGUAAACUGAGAAGGAGAUGAGUCGGAGACUGAUUGGACUUAGAGGGGAGGAGGGUCAUGGGAGCCUUUCUCCUGCCCCCACGCCCUGAGGCUUGCUCCUCAUCUCACCUCUCCGGAGGAGCCCCACCCAAGUCUCCAUGCUCUCCUGGGGCAGAGGGAGUACCUGCUUCUCUUGCCAAGGCCCUGAGAGGGAAUUCUAAAGGAUGCUCUGCGGUUACACACCUUGCACGUACGCAGCACGAUCCAGUGCUACAGGCACAUAACUCCAGACAUUUUAUGAGUUAACUAGACUUUCGCGAUAGGCCAGGAAUCCAUUCGCUUGAUGAGGAAGAAGUCUGAGUUCCAAGCCCUGGUUUAUCCGUUCCAACACUGGUGACCAUGCAUGCUUAGCUGAAUCUAUUUUCAGAUUUUUUUUUUUUUGCAUGUUCUGUAGUUUUAUAAUUUUAGUCUGCUCAUGGAAAUAUGUUGGGUGGCUAACUACUGAUGAUUCAUCCUCACACUGUUCCCAUGUGCCUGUUGGUGUGCUCUGUAAGUGCUCGGAAAGAACGUUCCCUAAUUACAUGUUUCAGAACGCACUGUUUGUGUGGCCCCUUCAUCAUCAAUCAAGGUUUUCUUUAUCAUCUAUCUGAAGCCAUUUUGAGCUGCAAUCACCCUGCGGUGAAUUACUACCCACAAAUCCCUUGGCAUUUGUAAACAGCAUGCCUUGCAUCAGCCAUAAACUAGACAUAAUUUUAUCCACAUUAUCUUGAUAAAGUUGAUGAAGGCUGGUUUUGCUUCCUCUUCCUGCCUCAUGAGUCAUUUAUAGAAUUUUCUGCCAGGCUAACCUCAACCACCUGACAUGUUGAGGGUAUAGAACUCCGGCUUUCCUGCUGAUAAUCAAUUCAGGCUAAACACUGAAAUAUAGUCAGGGCAAGCCCUGGGAUUUCCUAACAUGAUGGCAAUGUUUGAUAAUUACCAUUCCUCAUCAGCUUUCUUCAAGAGUCAAUGUUCUUUUGGUUGCAGGCAGUGGCAGUAACAGACAAUUUUCAAAGAAAAUUUUCGCCCAGAUUCGCAGUUUAGUUGAUAAUGUGAUCAAGAAUUGGGAUCUUUCCCCUGGGCCCCUCAGAGCUAUGAACGCUAAAACUAACAUAGUACUAAAAAUACCUUUCUUG